GAUGAACGCUGGCGGCGUGCCUAACACACGCAAGUCGAGCGAACCCUUCGGGGUGAGCGGCGGACGGGUGAGUAACGCGUGGGUAACCUGCCCUAUACACACGGAUAACGUACCGAAGGGUACGCUAAUACGGGAUAAAGUUGUUGGAUGGCAUCUUCUAACAAUCAAAGCUCCGGCGGUAUAGGAUGGACCCGCGUCUGAUUAGCAAGUUGGUGAGGUAAUGGCUCACCAAGGCGACGAUCAGUAGCCGACCUGAGAGGGUGAUCGGCCACACUGGAACUGAGACACGGUCCAGACUCCUACGGGAGGCAGCAGUGGGGAAUAUUGCACAAUGGGCGAAAGCCUGAUGCAGCAACGCCGCGUGAGCGAUGAAGGUCUUCGGAUCGUAAAGCUCUGUCCUCAAGGAGGAUAAUGACGGUACUUGAGGAGGAAGCCCCGGCUAACUACGUGCCAGCCGCCGCGGUAA
rnacentral:rRNA from 1 species